UACGUAGGGGGCGAGCGUUUGUCCGGAGUUACUGGGCGUAAAGCGCACGCAGGCGGUGCUGCGCGUUUUGGGGUUACAGCUCCCGGCUCAACCGGGAGAGCGCCUCGAAGACGGCAGCACUUGAGGGCCAGAGAGGGACACGGAACUCCGGGUGGAGUGGUGAAAUGCGUAGAUAUCCGGAAGAACACCAAAGGCGAAGGCAGUGUCCUGGCUGGUACCUGACGCUCAGGUGCGAAAGCUAGGGGAGCGAACGGG
rnacentral:rRNA from 1 species